rnacentral:rRNA from 1 species
GACGAACGCUGGCGGCGUGCUUAACACAUGCAAGUCGAACGCGCCUGUCCUCUGGGUUUCUGGGGGGUGGGUGAGUGGCGAACGGGUGAGUAACACGUGAGUAACCUGCCCCCUUCUUCGGGAUAACGGUCUGAAAGGGCUGCUAAUACCGGGUAUUCACUGGUCUCCGCAUGGGGUCUGGUGGAAAUGUUUUUUUCUGGUGGGGGAUGGGCUCGCGGCCUAUCAGCUUGUUGGUGGGGUGAUGGCUCACCAAGGCUUUGACGGGUAGCCUGCCUGAGCGGGUGACCGGUCACAUUGGGACUGAGAUACGGCCCAGACUCCUACGGGAGGCAGCAGUGGGGAAUAUUGCACAAUGGGCGCAAGCCUGAUGCAGCGACGCCGCGUGAGGGAUGGAGGCCUUCGGGUUGUGAACCUCUUUCGCCCGUGGUCAAGCCGCGACGUGGGUCGUGGUGAGGGUAGUGGGUAAAGAAGCGCCGGCUAACUACGUG